CGGCCACAUUGUUGUAACACCGGAACUCGUACGAUCACCGAAUUUAAGCAACGUCGAACCUAGUCAGUACCUUGAUGGGUGACCGCUUGAGAAUACCAGGUAUUGG